CAUUUUAAUAUCCAAUGUAAGUGAUAUCGUACAUUUUUUAUUAAAAAAGUAGCUAGGUAACUGCUAGCUAGCCCCUUUUAUCUGCAACAAUAAAGGCAAUUGCAAACCUGACUGCAUUACAAUGGAUCUGCAUAUAUGCAUGCUUUCAUGGAACAAUUAGCUGAUGUGCCCCAUUUUUCUUUAUAAAAUAUGUUGAAACUACUUUUAUAUUUUGUUUUACACUUAACAAACAUUUAGCUCGAAUUUGUGCUUGUGUAGUCUCAACUUGUGCAGUUUUGUUCAUUGAUUGGGCUGGGUCUAUCAUUUAUGGAUAAGAAAUUAAUCUUUGUGUUUCUGGCUGUGUUCAUGACAUUAAGGCUCUUAUUGCCCUAACACCUGACACUAAUAUGAUUUAUCUGUUUUCCCCAGACACUCCCCUAACGGUAACUAAGUUGCUCCACCUCUCUUCUUAAAAAAAUAAUACUUCUUAACCCGAGCAUAAACUAAAAAUGAGAAAAACUUCUUUUUCAUAGCAACAGUAUACUCCAUUGCCUAUUUUGGGAAAAUGUUGUUUGGAGAAAAGGUAUCGAGUGAAGAUUCUUCUUCUUCACGUGUUACUCAUACUUUGAGAAACAAUCCAAUGUGCACUUGUGGGUCACCCGCCUCGCUUAGAACAUCGAAUACGCCAAGAAAUCCAGGUCGAUCAUUCUUUGGGUGUUCAAAGUAUAAUUCUCAGGGGUUACCACACUGCAAUUAUUUCAAAUGGGCAGAUAGUGAUAGCGGCCAUGAAAGAGAAAAAGAAGUAGUUAAAAUAGAAAUUAACUACUUAAGGAAUGAGGAAGAACUUCAGAAAACUAAGGCAUAGUUUCAGUUUCAACAAAUAGCCAAAGAGUUGCGAAGAAGAGAGGAAGAGGUUCAAAGAAGAGAGGAAGAUGUUCGAAAAAGAGAGGAAGAGGUUCGAAAUUGGAUGGAAGAGAUUCGAAAUUGGAUGGAAGAGGUUCGAAAAAGAGAUGGCGAAAUUGUCAAGAGGGACUUGGGAGUUGGCUGUCAAUGCAGAAAUAUAAAGCUCUAUCUUAUAAUUUGUAUAUUACUUUAUUUGUACUUCUCACGAUCACAGUGAAUACUCACUGAUUGUCAAACAUUUUGUAUAAAGCUUGAACUUGUGAAUUUGUGCUUUAGACUAGUAGUUAUGGAAAUGUGUAAGAAAUUAUUAGAACAA